AGUAAGUUGGGGCAGACGCUUCGCAGAUUUUAAGGGACAAAAUAAAGUUAAAGGUAAUAAAUAAGGAUCACAACCAAUAAUCGCCGUUUUUUCCAAAUAUCGCUUUCUUUCUGUCUCGCUUAGAUGCGCUGUAUUCGCUGCCGUGACGGUCCAAAAGUGUCAGUCGGACACAAAUAUGGCGGCGGGCAUUCCGGAAGUGACGUCUUUGGUACCCAUGAAUAAUGGCCUUACACGAUGCGUCCAUGCGGAGCGGAUGACGAAGCACUCUUGUGUCCCGGAUGCAGAAGCCAGAACAAUACGUCUGAUUCGCAGCAGCUUGCACGUGCCGUGAACUGCGGGUUUCCAUGGCAACGGAGCCCUGCAGCCCUGGAUCAGAUUUCAUUUCGUUCUGAGACUCUUGUGUAAUGCUGGGACGCUUGUGGAAAUGGCGGAAGCUAAAUCACAUUUUUUCCUUUCCUAGCCGAUGGUUCAGUGCGCCCUCGUUUCCACGUUAACGGGUCCACGUUAUUUAUAAACCUAUGUACAUCAACCGAAUCAGAAUCUAAACAAGCAGUUAUAAUAAUUUCGCUUUCACCUGAUCUGCAAUUUUAUAUACAUAACUAUGUGUAGAGAAUAUUAAAUAAAAUCUAUGAUUUUU